AUUGAUGGCCGUGCUAAAAUUGGAAUCUAAAGCUUGUGGAUUUGAGUCUAGUUAAGAAGAGUGGGCUAUAAGCAGAGUCAGGCCUGGUUAGUAUUUGGAUGGGAGACCACCAAGGAAUACCAGGUGCUGUAGGCA
rnacentral:rRNA from 1 species